GUGCCCAAGGAUGGGGCAGUGUAUCAGGGAGCACCAGCGCUGGGCUGGCUACUGCUGGACAAACAGCCCGCCCCGGGGAGGGAAACACCGAGCCAGCCCAACAGGAUGAAGUAGAUGAUGGAAGCGAUUGCCCGGUACUCAAGGCUUGUUGCAGGAGGGAAUGAAUGCGAGAACAAAUAACUCAGUGCAGAAAAAGGUGAAAAAGGUCAGGAUGUAACCACACCUCCUCUUGGAAGCCCACCCUGAUUCUCAGAUGGACAAAGACC